rnacentral:guide_RNA from 1 species
AAAAGAGGGAAUAUCGCCCUCAUAUAU